AGAAAGGGCUCGUACAAAUGUAGACCGCAGUUCCUUUGUGUACUACGGUCAGGGAUCGCUAUCAAGAGAUUCCUCGAGCAAAAUUUUUGGGAUAAGGGCCGACUGGGACCGCUUGUCGCAGUCGGCCCU
rnacentral:snRNA from 1 species